rnacentral:lncRNA from 1 species
GCCCCGCUCGCAAGGUCUGCAGAAGCGGGCACUGGGCCGCCCACGCUGGGAAACUCACUUGUAAGAAACUCCUGGGGAUUUUGGCCAGAUCCUCUACGUAUUCCUUGCAGAUGUAACACAGGAAAUGCUGAAAGCCAAAACGGCAGAAAGGGCAAGUUAGUAAAGCAGCACCCUCGGGCCCCGAAGGAUCCCUGUACUUCGCCGUGCGUGACGCG